rnacentral:tRNA from 1 species
AGUCCUAUGGUCUAGCGGUAUGACGUUCGCUUCACAGUCUAGAAAUGUUCGCAUCUUCCAAAAGAUCGCACACCAUCUCUACCUGUAGAAGCGCGAAAGGUCCUGGGUUCGAUCCCCAGUGGGACUA